ACCCGCUGAAUUUAAGCAUAUAAGUAAGCGGAGGAAAAGAAACUCAAGAGGAUUCCCUUAGUAAUGGCGAAUGAACAGGGGUAAGCUCAGAGUGGAAAUCGGGGCCUUUCUGGCUUCGAAUUGUGAUCUCGAGAUGUACAACCAGCAUGGGGUGCAGGUAUAAGCCUUUUGGAAAAGAGCACCAGCGAGGGUGAGAGUCCCAUUCGUUACCUGUAGCCCCCAGUGCAUGGUGUGCAUUCUAAGAGUCACGCUCCUCGGGAUUGGAGCGCAAAGUGGGUGGUAAAUUUCAUCUAAAGCUAAAUACGGGCCUGAGACCGAUAGCACACAAGUACCCUGAGGGAAAGGUGAAAAGGACUUUGGAAAGAGAGUUAAACAGAGCCUGCCAUUGCUGAAAGGGAAGCGAACGAAAUCAGUGUGACUGGGCGAGAUCGGGCCGUGCCAAGGUGAGCUUCUGCGAACUGGACGUGCGGCUCAUUUCUUGCCCUGUCGGUCAACGGUGCUGCAAGCGCGAGGAAAAGAGUAUAGGACUGUCAGCUUGCCUACGGGUGGGUGAAUGCCUGUGCUACUACUUGCGCGUGUAGUGUCGCUUGGCUAUAUGGUUUCUUUCGACCCGUCUUGAAGCACGGACCAAGGAGUCUAACAUAUGUGCGAGUUUGCAGGUGUUUAAACCUGUUGGCGCAAUGAAAGUGACUGCUAGAAAUUGUGCACUGGCAACCGACCAAUCGCUUGAGAAAGGUUUGAGUAUGAGCAUGUCUGUUAGGACCCGAAAGAUGGUGAACUAUGCCCGUGAAAGGGCAAACUCAGGGGAAACUCUGAUGGAGGCCCGUAGCGAUACUGACGUGCAAAUCGUUCGUCAUACAUGGGUAUGGGGGCGAAAGACUAAUCGAACCAUCUAGUAGCUGGUUCCCUCCGAAGUUUCCCUCAG
rnacentral:rRNA from 1 species